GAUGAUGGGAAGGCGGGAGAUGAUGAUAAAGUCUCAUUUUGCUCUUGCAACCAAGUCUAUACCUUGGAGUGUAACUUGGUUGAACAAACUGUUAGAGUGACUUUGGAAUUGAAAUGUUUUUCUAAAAAGUAUUUUCUCAACAUUGUCUCAUCUUUCCUCUACAGAUUUACCUUUACAUUUGUGUUUAUCUCAUCUUUCUGUGAACUUUUAAAAUUGAUUCCUAUCCAUUACUAUCAAUAAACCACUAACCUGAUUAUUCAUCUUAACCCAUGAAAUUUCAACGAUAUGUAAACAUCAUUGAGUUACAUUACAACAUUUUACCGAGUUGUUAAUGUUGCCGUUGGCUUGGUCUGUUGACAUUACCAACAGAGUCAUGUGUUGCCAGUGAAAAACGGAUUACAAUUGAAAUCAAUUUACAGUCGUGAUUACAAUCAACAAGUUACAUCAGUUUGUGUUUAAAUUGUGUUCCCAGACCAGUCUUGUUAAUUCAAAUCAACUAUUGAAUUAACUAUUGAAAGACUUAGUGAUUUUGUGUAAUUGAUUUGUGUGUUCAUCUUUGUGUGUGUUUAACGUCUAUUGAAUAUGAAACCUGGUAAAGGAUUUUCUGGUAAAUCAAAUUCACCAGGUCGAGAUAAAGGUUCAACCCAAUCAUCUCAACCGUUAAUGUCAUCAAUUCAACAAUCAUCUUCACAGUCCCCAGAAUCAGCAACAUCUCAAGGGAAAUCAGCUAAAAAUCGAGAUUCUUCUAAACCAAUUUCUACCUUACAAAAUAUUAACAUUGAUCAAAAUAUUUCUCACCCUUGUCCACCCUCUUCACAUCAUCAACACCAACGGCGACUCAGUUCAUUGGAUGGACGCCACGAGGCACCCACAAUGACCGGAGCUCUUGAUUCUUCCGGUUGGCCCUCAAUUAAACCAAAAAGGAAAGGAUUAUCAAUUAUGUUUAAUGCUUCCAAAUCAACCAUUUUCUUAUCUUUUUUGUGUCUUAUGGCUUUUACCCUAUCAACAUUAAGCCUUGUCCGUAAUAUACAAUUAGAGAAGCGAUUACUAUCAUUGGAAGCUUUGUGUGCUGAUUAUAAAGUUAAAUUAAACAAUCAAUAUUAUGACCAACCCAAUUCGCUAUCAUUGCUCCAACAAUCGCCCUCAUCAACAUUCCCAUCUCAAUUGGAUCAUCAUUCAUCGUCGGUAAAUGAACCCGAUGAUUUCAAUGAAUCAGCUUUAACUAAUGAAAAUGUUAACCUAAAAGGAUUACAACCUAACCAACAAUUAAUCAAUUCAAGUUUUGUGCCCAUAACUGUUCUUGAAAAUAUUGUUAAACAGAAACUCAAUCGACAUCUAAGAUCACUCUCAUCGCGGAUAAAACGUCAAACAACAUCUGAUUGUAAAUGUCCAGCGGGUCCUCCUGGAAAAAGAGGAAAACGCGGUAAAAAAGGUGAACCAGGAACACUUGGAUCUCCGGGACCUGUCGGACCUCCUGGUAAACCUGGUUUCCCUGGCGCGAUCGGCAUUGAUGGUCCAAAAGGUGAUCCGGGAGAGAAGGGUGAUAAAGGAGAUAAAGGUGAAAGUGGAUUUGAUUUAUUCACAACGACAAAGGGUGGCGUUAAACGGUCAGUUACCCAAUUACAAGGAGGACCGCUUGGGUAUGCUGAAGUAAUUGCUCUCAAGGGUGAACCUGGAAACCCUGGACCACCUGGACCUCCUGGUCCACCAGGACUAACUGGAUUACCAGGUUUCGAUGGAAGAAUUGGAUCUCCUGGUGAACCGGGUCCAAGAGGUGAAGCUGGACCUCCUGGGCCUACAGGUCCUCUAGGCCCUAUUGGUAAGGAUGGUUUGCCUGGACCAAAGGGUGAUAAAGGAGACAAGGGCGAUCGUGGGUUAACGACAACAUUGGAUGGCAAUGCUUUCCCAACUGGAUUCAUUGAAGGACCUGCUGGACCUCCAGGACCUCCUGGACCAGCUGGACCACCGGGUCGCAAGGGUAAAGCCGGUAAAGCGGGUCCUCCUGGAGAUGUUGGACCAAAAGGUGACAUUGGCUUAACAGGCAGUAAAGGCGAGAAGGGUGACAUUGGAUUACCUGGACCUCAGGGUGAACAAGGUCUUAUUGGUCGCGACGGAUUAGAUGGGUCAGCAGGGGCUCAAGGACCUCCAGGACCUCCGGGUGAAAAGGGCGAUAAAGGUCAUCAGGGUGACAUUGGUCCACCAGGUAUGAUGGGUCCACCUGGUUUGCCGGGACCACCAGGAACAACAGGGUCUAAAGGUGAUAAAGGUGAUAAAGGUGAUCUUGUGCCUCAAGCAAUGCGUUACAUGAAAGAUUACGAGGCUUUUGGAGAUAGGAUUGAAUCAUUAUCUGGACCACCAGGUCCUCCUGGACCACAGGGUGAACCAGGAGUUCGAGGUCCUCCAGGCAUGAAAGGUGAACCUGGUAACGAUGGAGCUAAAGGUUCUCAGGGAGAAAGAGGUGAAAAAGGCGACCAAGGACCAAUGGGAUUACCUGGUCCUGCUGGUAUCAAAGGAGAGCCUGGUUUUCCUGGUAUUCCGGGUAGAUCUGGAUUAAUGACUCCAAAAAUGCCUGUUGCUCCGCCAUCGGUUAUAUAAUAUUAACAUUAACUACAUAAACCUGCCAUACUAACAAAUUUAAACGCUAAUUAACCACUUUUUUCUAGCAAUCUGAUUCUAUGAGAAUCCAAUCAGAUGGACAUUUUUCUUUGGAUGAAUUGAAUAAAAGGAGACACCGAGAUGCCGAGAGGAGGCACAAACACCAUUUGGAAAAGAAUCGUCAUCUAGAGAAAAAACAUAGGAUAAGACAUGAAAGAACUGAAAAGCCUGAUGAAUUGCUUCUAUAAAUUUACUGACCAAUCUCCUGUUAAAUAUACACUGCAAAUGCCAAAACUGAAGAUCGCUUCUUUAUGGUUAAAAAGCUUUUUAUACAACACUUCCAGCUCAAGUUAUCAUUAUCAUUGCUGGCAUCAUCAACAUUAGCAUUUUUUCUUCCUUCUUUUGGAAUGGUCAACGUUUUAUUGACAAAUAUGGCCUCAUAAGCAUAUUCAUGGAAAAUUGGACAAAAUCAAGGGAACAAAUUUCCUACCAAUUAAUCAAGUCAAGUCAAUUAUUGAUGUAUAGAAUGUGAAACCAGAGGAAACUCUGUUCAAUUAAUCGUUACACUAAACAAGAGACCAAGUGAAAGAAUAAUGAAUAUCAAUCCUUAAAUUGUUUGACUAAACCUUUCUACAACAAUCUAAGUCAAAUUUUAACCAUAAUAUCCAACUCUUGUCUUCCUUGAUUUUCAUCAUCCUCUGUAUUUCACUUUUAUCUCUCAUUUUAAUUUUUGUCAAUCGGCACUUUUCACCAAUUCCAAUCUUUCUUUUGAUCAUGUAAACUCAGUGGUCUAUGCAUUGUUUUUUUGCCAAUCCUCAUCAUUUAUCUUCAUCAAAAUAACUACAUUUUUCGUCUUUUGUAAAAGUUUAUGCAACAAAAAAACAGUCUUUUAAUUAACUAUGUAAUGUACGAACCAUGAUAAUUUUUACUUAUUAAUUUUUUCUCAAUAACAAUUCCACCAGAUUUAUCAUAAAACACAACCAACAUGAAGGAUAUGAAAACAAAACAAUGAUCAUACUGUUUAGACAAACAAAACGAUUCACAUUAGAAAAUAAAUAAAAUAACUUUUUUUGACUGAA